rnacentral:lncRNA from 1 species
ACCAUUGAUUAUGCUGCCUGAGAUAGGGUGGUGGUUUUUAAAAUAUAUAUUUAUUAGGUUAAACAUUUUUUCUUCUAUAUCCCUAGUUUGCUAAGCAUUUUAACUCUGAGUGAUGACUUUAAUUGCUUUUCCUUUUAAAACUGAUCUUAGAAUUACCCUGCUUUAAGAGGCCUUUCCAGCAAUCUAAAGUUGGAAUAAAAGCUCCUCGUCUCUGAUCCCACUGCAUUUUGUGCUUCCAGUGGCAAGUUCAUCUGCUGAUGUGUCACUGGGUCUCCUUCCAAAAGUAACUCUAUAGUACAACAUGAUGCUUCAGGUAUAGAAACCUUGCUCUUAUUUGUUUAGCCAAAUGAAAUGUGAAUCUAAAGAUACUGAGAGUUUCAAGAAGAAUUUCAUGAUCGUAAAUAAUGAAUGGUGUAGUAAGGCCUAAAAUAUUCAGUCUUUUCUUGGCUCUAUGACUGAAAAUAUAGGCAGAUGUGCCUAGGAUGAUGAUAGCAGUGAUGGGCACCAGUCCAGGUAGGCUGGGCCUGGCAGAGUGUAAAUCUUAUGCCAGAGCAUCAGUGACCAACUCCAUGAGCAGGCCAGCACAUGUGAAAAAGGCUCCUGGGAAACUUAGAGAUAUAAUUGGAA